AAAGAAGGCAAUAAAGAAACCUUUUCAGAGGAGCUGAAUGAGAGAACGAAGAAGAAAUGAAUCCCUUUUGGAUGUUGCGACCGGAGAGGCCUUUUUAUUUUCUUUGCUCGGGUAAUCAAAUGGAGCUGAAAUGAAAAUGGAGUUUUCUAUGAAAAUAGGGGCCUUUGUUGGCUUUGGAAGGCUGGUAAUUCAUAAACAAUAAGCCGGCUCCUUUUGUUUGGGUUAUAAUAUAUUCCUGCUGUUCUGAAAGAGGUCCCUCGCUGCACACACAUGCACUCGCGCACAUUGAAGCCAGGGUAAAAGCCAAAGUGAGGCAGCAGGGGAAGAGAGAAAGAGGGAGGAUAAAAGGAGGCAGAGAGGCUGACUUUCUAUUCAUCCUCCUGACUGAGAGACGGCAGGAUGCUCAACUCCUCACCUCACUUCCUCCGCUCGGCAACUUUUCCUCUCUGAGCAUUUUGGUUCUUUUAUUCCUGCAGGUGAGAAUGGAUCAUUUUUGACGGGGUUGUUUUUUCUGAGUGCUUGGCGAGUCCUGAGGGAAGAAGUACGGACGUGAGGCUGUUGAUGGAUCUUUUUUUCAACGGAUGCAGCAUCUGAUUCUUUGGGAAACAAAAAUAUCAACGUGAUUGAAACAAGAACUGCAAAGCAAACAGAAGAGAGAACUGCACUUCACAUCUUCAAGCGGCAAUUUUUCAACAUCCAUCCAGUGAGGAGCGUGCAUUAAGUGAGAUUUCAAACCUUCUCGCCUCCUGUGACUGAAAAGUGUCGGGAAAACUUUCCUGAGUUGGAAAAUGCUGAAGAAAGAAGAGAAAACAUCAGAUGAUGUCAUAUGCAUUUUCCGAAGAGAUUUUAACUCUUACUGACUGAAGGAGGAUAUGAAUUCUUCAUAAUUUAAUGUGAUCCUCUGUAGUCGGGAUCCCAGGAGGAAACAGGAACACAGAAUGGAUCAACUGAAGAUUGACAUGGACUGAUCUUCAAACUUUUACCAACUGAAUACAUGUUUGUGGACGAACGAGAGCAUGUACUUCAAUAAUAGACUAAGAACAUUCUGUCUUUUAAUAGUUUCAAAUUUAGAAAGCUUAGAUGUACAUUUGUUGAAAUAAUUAAGAAGAUAUUAUUUAACCUGCUUAUUAUUAUUAUCAGGACAGGUAAGUUAAUACAUUAAACAGCAAGGCUCCUUUUUACCCAUCUGACUCCAAAAUAUGUAAAAAAAAAAUGUAUUUAAUGUCUUAUUUAUUUUUGUUAAAACUACGGCUGCGAGUCCAACAUCAGAAAAACUUUAUUUCUGUUGCUACUCAAUACUUUUUCAAAUCUUGAUGCUGAGUUGAUGUCAAAUCAUUGUCACCAAAUCAGAUUCAUUUUCUAGAUCAAAGAUGGAAAAGUGUUCAUGAGCGGGACAUUUUACUGAGAUAAACUCACUUCAAACUAUUCAUUUGGACUAAUUCUUUUGAGUGUGUUUUGCAAAUAAAUGUUUAUCUCCAUUUAUAUGUGUAACUUUCAACUAAAUAAGCUUUUAUUAACACAGUCUCCUAAUGUUUAGUGGAAAAGUACUGCUGCUGGCUUUCAUGACAAUCACUUUCAGUCACAAUCCACUGGCAGCCAGAAAUGAUGGCAGAAAGUGACAGACAGGAGCUAAAACAGGAAUAUGGCGUGACAGAGCUAAAGCCUGUCACAGUGGUGUCCCUUUUUCUGUUCAGGAGUUGCACAAAGCCGUCAGCUCUGAAAGGUCAACCUGCUCUAGACCGCACUGUAAAUGAAGUGACCAGAGUGGCCCUGGAAUCCCAGAUGAAGCCGAUUCUCUUCAUCAGCUGUCAAUUGAUUCUCUUACUAAAUACCUCAACACUGAACACCAGAGACACGUGUGGUAUCCAAGUCUUUCAGAGCAAUCACACAAUGGAGUCCUCUUAACGAGCAACGCGGCAGCUAAGGAGGAAAAGUCCUCGCCAUGCCAACAUGGCUCACCAGCCUGCUGAGAGCCGAGCAGCACCUGACAGAUGCCACUUUGGGGGCAAAAUCCCAGAGGGCUCCAAAGAGCCGACACAGGACUGAAGCCAAGGGAGCAGGAGCCUGGAAUACCGAAACGCGUUACAGUUAUAUGUAUAAAUAUGAUUGCUAAAAUCCAUUUAACUAUCCACACUUCAAGCUGCAGUAUGUAAAGCAAAUGUUUUUUACACAUGUGUUGUUAAGAGACAGAUGAUCUUUGAAAAGAUCAAUUUCCUCCACCUGUUCCAAUAGCAACUAUUGCCAUCUCAAGAAAUGCACCACUCCUGACCAAAAACAACCAAUCAGAGUCGGGGGGAAGGUCUUAGUGCUGUCAAUCAGUCCUG